rnacentral:rRNA from 1 species
GCCGCGUGAGGGAUGACGGCCUUCGGGUUGUAAACCUCUUUCAGUAGGGACGAAGCGAAAGUGACGGUACCUGCAGAACAAGGACCGGCCAACUACAUGCCAGCAGCCGCGGUAAUACGUAGGGUCCGAGCGUUGUCCGGAAUUACUGGGCGUAAAGAGCUCGUACGUGGUUUGUCGCGUUGUUCGUGAAAACUCACAGCUUAACUGUGGGCGUGCGGGCGAUACGGGCAGACUGGAGUACUGCAGGGGAGACUGGAAUUCCUGGUGUAGCGGUGGAAUGCGCAGAUAUCAGGAGGAACACCGGUGGCGAAGGCGGGUCUCUGGGCAGUAACUGACGCUCAGGAGCGAAAGCGUGGGGAGCGAACAGGAUUAUAUACCCUGGUAGUCCACGCCUUACACGGUGGGUACUACGUGUGGGUUUCCUUCCUUGGGAUCCGUGCCGUACCUAACGCAUUAAGUACCCCGCCUGGGGAGUACGGCCGCAAGGCUAAAACUCAAAGGAAUUGACGGGGGCCCGCACAAGCGGCGGAGCACGUGGAUUAAUUCGAUGCAACGCGAAGAACCUUACCUGGGUUUGACAUGCACAGGACGCCAGCUGAGAUGUCGGU